rnacentral:rRNA from 1 species
UACGUAGGGUGCGAGCGUUAAUCGGAAUUAUUGGGCGUAAAGGGCGCGUAGGCGGCUUUUCAAGUGACGGGUGAAAUCCCUCGGCUUAACCGAGGAACUGCCUGUCAGACUGGAAGGCUUGAGACCGGGAGAGGUGAGUGGAAUUCCCAGUGUAGCGGUGAAAUGCGUAGAUAUUGGGAGGAACACCAGUGGCGAAGGCGGCUCACUGGACCGGUACUGACGCUGAGGCGCGAAAGCGUGGGGAGCAAACGGG